CAGGUAUUUGCUCACCACUCUGCUCCUGAUGACUGCUUUCCAGUUCAUUGUGACUGUUGGACACCUCAUAGGCUGAGUAUAUGUUUGAAUGUUGGACUAACCUUACGAUACGAAGAAGGGACAGAAUAAGGUAACAGGAAAGCAUUCACAGACAGUUUAAUAAGCAGCGGUCAAUGAACACAAGCUCUCUUGUUUCGAAAUGGCAAAGUGCUUUUUGAGUGCGGAAGGGUUUUUGCUGCUAUUUGCGGGACUGCAGCCAACCUUACCAAUCAGUAGGCACAAGAGGUUCUUUAAACAGCCAUUAGGAAAUCCCAGGCUGCCUCAUCUUCUGACCUCUUCACAAAGCAGUUGGUACAGCUCAUGUUAGUUCUACUUGGCAUAAAUCUCCUCCAAUUGUAUUACAAAAGGCAGAA